CGCCCGCCGCCUCCACCGCUCGAGCCACCGAACCCUAGAAAUCCCGCCGCCGCCGCCCGCCCACUCCGUCGCGCCGAUGGCGGAGCACGAGGAGCAGCCCUACGAGGGCAACGGGAACGGCGGCGACCCGGCCCCCGCCUCCGCGUACGCUGAGUACCCUGCGCCCGAGGGGUCCCCGCCCGCCGCCGCCGCCAAGCCCACCGGCUUCUCCGAUGGCGCCACCGACGGCGGCCGUUCUCAGCACGAGACACAGCCACAUGAUGGCAGGUCCUCAAAGUCUAGAGAGAGGGAAAGAGAACGGGACAAGGACAAGGAACGCGACAGAGACCGUGAUAGAGACCGAAGGGACCGCGACCGUGGUGACAAGGACAGGGACCGUGAUCGCCACAGGGAGCACCGCGAUAGAAGCGAAAGAAGGGAACACCACGAUCGUGAACGUUCUGAUGACCGUGAUCGACGCCGGGGCCAUGAUUCUGAAAGGAGAAGAGACCGUGACAGAGAUGGUCACCGCAGGCAUCGAUCUCGCUCCCGCUCCCCUUCAAAGGGUCGUGAUCGCAGAUCUAGAUCUCGCUCACGCUCUCGAUCUAGCAAGCGCGUGAGUGGAUUUGACCAGGGACCACAAGCAGCCAUUCCUGCGCUUGCUGCUGGAGCAGCCCCAGGUCAGGUACCUGUUGUGGCCCCUGCUAUUUCUGGGAUGCUUCCGAACAUGUUCAAUUUGACUCAAACCCCGUUCACUCCGCUUGUUAUUCAGCCACAAGCUAUGACACAACAGGCUACUCGACAUGCUAGGCGUGUUUAUGUUGGUGGACUUCCUCCAACUGCUAAUGAGCAUACUGUUGCUGUAUACUUCAAUCAAGUUAUGGCUGCUGUUGGUGGAAAUACAGCUGGUCCAGGUGAUGCUGUUCUUAAUGUCUACAUAAACCAUGAUAAGAAAUUUGCAUUUGUGGAGAUGAGGUCUGUGGAGGAAGCAAGCAAUGCAAUGGCCUUGGAUGGUAUAAUGUUUGAGGGAGCACCUGUGAAGGUUAGAAGGCCAACAGACUAUAAUCCUUCCCUAGCAGCUGCAUUGGGUCCAAGCCAGCCAAACCCCAACCUCAAUCUUGCUGCUGUUGGCUUAACACCUGGCUCAGCUGGAGGUUUAGAAGGUCCUGACCGCAUUUUUGUGGGUGGGCUGCCCUAUUACUUCACAGAAGCUCAAGUCAGGGAGUUGCUCGAAUCCUUUGGACCUCUGCGUGGUUUUGAUCUUGUGAAGGACAGAGAAACUGGAAACUCGAAGGGCUAUGCUUUCUGUGUAUACCAGGAUCUUAAUGUCACGGACAUUGCCUGUGCUGCUCUUAAUGGUAUCAAGAUGGGAGACAAGACCCUCACUGUUAGGCGAGCUAACCAAGGAGCUUCUCAACCUAGGCCAGAGCAAGAAAGCAUGCUCCUGCAUGUACAACAACAGGCGCAAAUGCAGAAACUCAUGUUCCAAGUUGGAGGGGGAGCACUGCCUACAAAGGUGGUAUGCCUGACCCAAGUGGUUUCACCAGAUGAACUGAGGGAUGAUGAGGAGUAUGAGGACAUCGUGCAAGACAUGAGGGAAGAAGGGUGCAGAUACGUCCCACAUAGUGCCAUUGCAGAGUCUUUUAUAGUCCGACCUUAUGCAAUAUUGGCAGUCGGGCAUAGCCUACAGAAGACACACAAUUCCAAUUUUACUUUGCUUUAUCAGCUUUAUGAUUAUGAUAUAAUAUGAUGCCAUGCUUUUUUCUAUUUGUCUAUGUUCUCACUGACGCUUGUUCAGGUAACCUGGUGAAAGUUGUGAUCCCGCGACCUGAUCCCAGCGGUGCUCCUGUUGCUGGAGUUGGGAGGGUGUUUUUGGAAUUUGCAGAUGUAGAGAGCUCGACCAAGGCGAAGAAUGGGAUGCACGGGAGGAAGUUUGCCAACAACCAGGUGGUGGCUGUCUUCUACCCUGAGGACAAGUUCGCUGAAGGGCAAUACGACGGUUGAACAUCGAAGUCGCCCUCUUAUUGUUUCUAACGCCUAUAAGGCGGAAUCUAUUUACGUUUACCUUAGUUUUGCAAUUUUUACAUCUAGUUUUUUUUUUCUGUGUUAGUUGAAAUUUUAUUAGUAGUCCAGAGAUUGGUGCAGAAUCAUGUGUACUUUGGGUAUGUUCUUAUGGUUCUGACUUGAAAAGCAAUAGUGGCUGGUUGUGCCUACGUUCUGUA